rnacentral:rRNA from 2 species
UGGGGAAUAUUGCACAAUGGGGGAAACCCUGAUGCAGCGACGCCGCGUGAAGGAUGAAGUAUUUCGGUAUGUAAACUUCUAUCAGCAGGGAAGAUAAUGACGGUACCUGACUAAGAAGCCCUGGCUAACUACGUGCCAGCAGCCGCGGUAAUACGUAGGGGGCAAGCGUUAUCCGGAUUUACUGGGUGUAAAGGGAGCGUAGACGGAAUGGCAAGUCUGAUGUGAAAACCCGGGGCUCAACCCCGGGACUGCAUUGGAAACUGUUGUUCUAGAGUGUCGGAGGGGUAAGUGGAAUUCCUAGUGUAGCGGUGAAAUGCGUAGAUAUUAGGAGGAACACCAGUGGCGAAGGCGGCUUACUGGACGAUCACUGACGUUGAGGCUCGAAAGCGUGGGGAGCAAACA